UGACACACCGGCAGACUCACAUCUGUGGACAUUUUAUGUAAAAGACAAGUAAUGGGAGAAGGUGAGAUCUUCAAAGUGUCUUGUAACUCAAGAAGGUCUGUACUAUACAAGCACGGAAGGCAGCAAGGGAUUAUAAUUCUCAGAUUCUCCUGGGCUAAGCAGUUGAUGCCUGUGCAGUUACAUCACAGUCAGCAGAACCCGACUAAGUGAAAGGAGCUGGGCCAAUUCCAACUGUAAUUAUUCCUGGAGUGGUGAUACGGAGUCUCCGCGUGUAGGAGAAAUGAGGAGUGACUGCCAUGGAGCCUAUGUGACACAAAUGAAGAUUUGGACACUUGUGUCAAAUGACAGAAGAAAUUCCUAUGUUUGUGGACAAACCAUAACUGACCAGAAACAUUGAAUAACUGAACAACAUUAGAUGCAAGCCUGCAUUCUGGGAAAUUGCUCUUACCACAACAAGAGACGCUGUAUGUAUUCCUCAGAGACUGAGGGGAAGAGCUGGGGAUUAUGUAUCACUUAAAAGUGCCACACACAUUGUCUCCAAACACUGUAGUAAAGAGAAAAGCGUUUUCUAAGGUCAUGGCUUUCCCUCUCUUGGCUGAAAAGUUUUUAAGAGAAAAAAAAAAAAAAAAAAAGAAUGAAAAAUUAAUGAAAGAGGAGAAUUUUUACAUGCUUCACAUUACCUUUGUUUGUUAAGCUAGAGUAUGAUGUGUGGAAAAAUUUUAAAUCUUCAAGGCAUCUUUUAAUAUUUUAGUUACCUGAAAUAUUAACUGAUUUAUUAGGUUCUAUGAUAUUGGAUCCAGGUCAGUACAGGAAAUACUCAGCUGCAGUGAGUCUCUACAAAAAAAUAGGUCAGGCUAUCCAUAUAUCUUCUUAUAUUAUUGGGAAAUUGCUUCCCAGAUAGGAUUGUAAGUAGAAAUGUGAGGUUUUUUUGCAUCUCCCUGAAUCCCCAGUGGCUGCACUGUGACUUCCUGCACAUGCUGUUCCAAUGCCCCUCUGUCCUAGUCCAUAAAAGAGAUCACUUUGUAUUCCCCAGGAUAUCAUGAAAUAUAGAGACAGCGGUAUUUUCCAAUUUGAGAGCAGAGCACAUUGUCGCAUUUGGGGGAAAAGAAAAAACAGUGACCAAACCUUUUGGUUAUGCUUUUGCAAUGUCUUAAUAUCUCAAAGGUGAAAGAGCUUCAAAAGUGUUCUCUGUAGAGAAACACAAAUAUUUUCAAAAACACCAUAUAUUUACUGUACUAAAAGAAUGCAACUUAAAUUCCACUACAGAAUUAUGUAUUUGUCAGAAUAAUUAUAUGAAACAGACUGUACUGUUUGCUCCAGAACUUAUCAGUUUUAUAUACUUGUACAUACAAAAUCAAGAUGAUGAGUGAAAUUCUGCAGUGUCAGAUGUAAAAUGUUGUGGAGGUGAAGCUGAGAUCUGUUAUUUCAGAUGCUGGAUUUUCAGGUUCUGGGUAGUUACCUUAGCCUUUCUUCGAACAUCUGACAGAGAUAUAUGUGGACAUUCCUCUCAUUUUACUCAGCUGAGACUGCAGCUUUCUGCCCAGUAUUGCAGCCAAAACUGAGUUGGAUACAGAGUGUGAGAGCUGAACAUUCUACUGAAAGUCAGGUGUAUUAUCUCAGGCUAUUUGUAGUAGGUUGUUAUGCAGUUUCUCUCAACUGAGACAAUUUCUGCCCAUCUUGGACGUGCUGCAGAAUAAAAUGUGAAACGGAACUUCCAGGAAUGGAAA